rnacentral:rRNA from 1 species
UACGUAGGGUGCGAGCGUUGUCCGGAAUUAUUGGGCGUAAAGGGCUCGUAGGCGGUCUGUCACGUCGGGAGUGAAAACUCAGGGCUUAACCCUGAGCCUGCUUCCGAUACGGGCAGACUAGAGGUAUGCAGGGGAGAACGGAAUUCCUGGUGUAGCGGUGAAAUGCGCAGAUAUCAGGAGGAACACCGGUGGCGAAGGCGGUUCUCUGGGCAUUACCUGACGCUGAGGAGCGAAAGCUAGGGGAGCAAACGGG